CUAAUUGACAAUAUUCUAUAUGACGGGAAUAUGUAUACACUACAAUGGGCCGUGAACAAAUAAGAUCCUGCUUGAAAACUCCACAAAACAUGUCGGAUCACGAGUUCAAAUAAGGAAGAAACUCUUCAAUUAUCACGUGCCUCAGUCCUCUUAUUGACAAAAUACGAAUUCCGCAGUGAAAACUGUUAAAUAAUAUUGGAGGUCAAAAUGAGCGGAUCAAAGUUUUGAGUCUCAUUUUACAGCGAAUAAAAAAACGUGGCAUGCGAGAUUAAACAACCCAACUGUGGAUUCCGGCAAACGACACUCUGCGUUGUUAUGAGGGGGUAAUCGCGUGACAAACAAGAUGGCGACCUGUCGAGAAAGGCUAGGUGUGGAAAUUGGUGUUUAGGGUUUGUCAUUUCCUCAGCCGAUAUUAAUAUACCACUGCAAACGUCAGCGUUGCCCAAGGGUCAUGACAGCAUAGCAAUGCCAUAGUGUAUCGAAAGGCAUGGCUCUCUUGACGUAGCAAAAUUAAUAUUAGUGGCGUAAAUUCUUAAAAAAGCCGACGCACCUGUGGGGACGCUUUCAUACGGGCCGUUGACGUCACGAGGCUCGAGGC